GUUUCUCCCCACCAAGCCUGCCACCUCCGGACUGCUUCAGCCCCUCCUGGAUUUCCCCCACUUGGACUCUGUUUUGCUCCUCUCUGUUCAUGGAUUUCCCCCAGCCUGUUUUCCCCUCAGUUUUCAGUUUCCCCCAUCUUACUUUCCACCAGAUGUUGAUCCUGCUUCUGGGACUUCCUCCCUGUCAGACAGAUGAACACGACUGAGGUCCAACCCUGAUGUUGGCUGAGGAGUUCUGACUCGCAGUCGGUGUUCCAGUUCAUCCCAGAGGUGUCGGAUAAGGCUGAGUUAAAACAAACGGGACACACCUGAGCACAAAGUGGAGCUGCAGCUAAAGGUGUGGAUGCUUUUAUAAAUGAGGACGCUGUUUUUUCAAAAUGUAUUUGCAAAAAGUCUAAAGUUG